rnacentral:rRNA from 1 species
AUUGAACGCUGGCGGCAUGCUUUACACAUGCAAGUCGAACGGUAACAGGCCGCAAGGUGCUGACGAGUGGCGAACGGGUGAGUAAUGCCUCGGAACGUGCCCAGUCGUGGGGGAUAACUACUCGAAAGAGUAGCUAAUACCGCAUACGAUCUAUGGAUGAAAGCGGGGGACCGUAAGGCCUCGGGCGAUUGGAGCGGCCGAUGUCAGAUUAGGUAGUUGGUGGGGUAAAGGCUCACCAAGCCAACGAUCUGUAGCGGGUCUGAGAGGACGACCAGCCACACUGGGACUGAGACACGGCCCAGACUCCUACGGGAGGCAGCAGUGGGGAAUUUUGGACAAUGGGCGCAAGCCUGAUCCAGCAAUGCCGCGUGCAGGAAGAAGGCCUUCGGGUUGUAAACUGCUUUUGUACGGAACGAAACGGCUCUGGUUAAUACCCGGGGCUAAUGACGGUACCGUAAGAAUAAGCACCGGCUAACUACGU